UGAGUUACGCUCUAAACCCUUUGUGAACAUACCUAUAACUGUUGCUUCGGCGGGUAGGGUCUCCGUGACCCUCCCGGCCUCCCGCCCCCGGGCGGGUCGGCGCCCGCCGGAGGAUAACCAAACUCUGAUUUAACGACGUUUCUUCUGAGUGGUACAAGCCAAUAAUCAGAACUUUUAACAACGGAUCUCUUGGUUCUGGCAUCGAUGAAGAACGCAGCGAAAUGCGAUAAGUAAUGUGAAUUGCAGAAUUCAGUGAAUCAUCGAAUCUUUGAACGCACAUUGCGCCCGCCAGCAUUCUGGCGGGCAUGCCUGUUCGAGCGUCAUUUCAACCCUCAAGCUCUGCUUGGUGUUGGGGCCCUACAGUUGAUGUAGGCCCUCAAAGGUAGUGGCGGACCCUCCCGGAGCCUCCUUUGCGUAGUAACUUUACGUCUCGCACUGGGAUCCGGAGGGACUCUUGCCGUAAAACCCCCCAAUUUUCCAAAGGUUGACCUCGGAUCAGGUAGGAAUACCCGCUGAACUUAAGCAUAUCAAUAAGCGGAGGAAAAGAAACCAACAGGGAUUGCCUCAGUAACGGCGAGUGAAGCGGCAACAGCUCAAAUUUGAAAUCUGGCCCUAGGCCCGAGUUGUAAUUUGCAGAGGAUGCUUUUGGUGCGGUGCCUUCCAAGUUCCCUAGAACGGGACGCCAGAGAGGGUGAGAGCCCCGUACAGUUGGACACCAAGCCUUUGUAAAGCUCCUUCGACGAGUCGAGUAGUUUGGGAAUGCUGCUCAAAAUGGGAGGUAUAUUUCUUCUAAAGCUAAAUACCGGCCAGAGACCGAUAGCGCACAAGUAGAGUGAUCGAAAGAUGAAAAGCACUUUGAAAAGAGGGUUAAACAGCACGUGAAAUUGUUAAAAGGGAAGCGCUUGUGACCAGACUUGCGUCCGGUGAAUCACCCAGCUCUCGCGGCUGGGGCACUUCGCCGGCUCAGGCCAGCAUCAGCUCGCUGUCGGGGACAAAAGCUUCAGGAACGUAGCUCUCUUCGGGGAGUGUUAUAGCCUGUUGCAUAAUACCCUUCGGCGGGCUGAGGUACGC
rnacentral:rRNA from 1 species